UACCCCAAGGUAUUUUUUAAAACUUGAAUACUUUGCAAUCCCAUUUCACCUUUUAACACUUUGAUUCCCUAAAAUUUCAAUCUCAUUUCACUUUGAUACUCCUGUCUACAUCCAUUAGGUUUCCAUUAAAUUUUAUCUCCAGCUUAUCAACUGGUUAUACUGGAUAUAAAUGUAUCACAUGCUAAGGACGUAUUUUAAAUAUUGCAGAAAAUUUAGUGAAAUAUGGAUGGGAUAUCAAAUCAAAAUAAGAUUGAAAUCGGGGUAUUAAAGUUUUAAAGAAAUACUGGCAUCAAAGUGAAAUGAGAUCAAAACUUUGGGAGUUUGGGGUAUCAACGUGUUAAAAAAUACUUCACGGUAUCAAAGUGAAAAUAUGGCAAAAAUUUGGGGUACUAAAGCGAAAAUAAGCCUUUGUUGGUUAUAAUUUAUAGCUUAAGAUAUUGAUAUAGAUAGAAACCAUCUUCCUGUUGACCAUUAACAAUAGUUUUUGUUUUAUGGAGAUAGCCUCACUCUCUGAACUUGUUGCUCCAUUGUAGGCUGGCUUGACCAAGACAGAUGCUGCCGUGCAGACUCUUUCGGAUAUCAACCCAGAAGUUGUACUAGAAAGCUAUUCCUUGAACAUUGCGACUGUGAAGGGUUUUGAAGUUUUCAUGGAGAGCCUGAAACGAAAUAAGAAGCAAGGUGCACAAAACACUGGAGUUGAUCUUGUAUUGAGCUGUGUUGAUAAUUAUGAGGCUCGUAUGGUCGUUAAAUAGGAACAUAGGGUGCAUUAUCAUACCUAGUUUUGAUUGUUCCGGCUUGCAAUGAGCUGAAGCAGACGUGGAUGGAGUCUGGUAAGCGAACAUGCUCUCUGUUCAUUUUAGUCUCGAUCAGUUUUACCUAUAUUUCUUUUAAAUAAUUUGCCCAACUCCUUUGUAGACUAGCUUAACGUGUACAGUCUGGUGGAAGUAUGAGAUUACAUGGAAAAUGAGUACAACAAUAUAGGAUGUGAUCGUCUUAACUUAAAAACUGCCUAAGAAUCAAUUAGUCUACAUAUUUGUUGCUCAUGGUAUCACUUGUUUAUCAUUGUGAAAACAAAGAAGCUGACUUUACAUCUGGAAUAGCAAUAUCUCCUGCAAAACUGGAUCACAAGUUACAUAUGAUUUCCGUGUCUAUCAUACUAGUGACCAAGACACAUCCUGGAAUCAUGGACGCUUCUGUGUUACUCUUGUCAGUUGCAUGCUGUGAGAGUAAUAACAUUCAA